ACCGGGCACAGACUGGCGUGCCCCAAGCAUCUCUGGGCGAGUAUCUCUUUGAGCGGUCACUCUCUAGCAUGACUAGGAGG
rnacentral:pre_miRNA from 1 species